CCAGUAGUGAUCGCAAGAUGGCAGAGUUGCGAGUGUAAGACCGAAGGGAGAGGAUUUCCCUUUUUUAUCCGGCUGUGCGUCCUUCUAUUUACAGAACUUCCUGAGGGAUGCAAGCAAGGAGAUCCCCCUGAGAGAACGAGAGACCCUGAAGUGCUGUACUGGAGCUUCUUUGAUGGCCAAGCGAGCCAGCAGAGAACCCCAGUCUUGAAAUUCCGCUGGAAAGAGAAAUGAAGAGAGUUCUCUCGACGACACCCUCCACUUUGGAUAUGUGAUAGCGUUAUGUGCGACUGGAAGUGAUAAUCGGCCUGGAAUUUGCUUGUCGAGUUCGUUUUUCCUAAAAGUUGAUAUUGAUAUUAGUUUGUUCUGGUUUACCUAUAAGUCAAAAGUGAUUACAAAAAGAGAAAUUAUACCGUCGUACUAGCUAUGACUACAUGCCACCCCACGAGUCGUCAGACGUGGCCGCACCGCUUGGCAGGACAGACCUAGUGAAUCGUUGCUAGGCCCCAGGGACAAGUUCUCAAUUGGCCUGUGGCUUAGGUUUGAUGGUGAACAUUGUUGGUGUCCGUACGUUGGUCCCCCCCUCCGUGGGCGGCCCUCCCCUAACCGAGACCAAGAUGACGGCACGGGCCAUUCUGCAGUGUCGACCCAAUUCGCAUCCCUUCCCACAGGAUGCGGAGGCUGGGGAAAGGGAUGCGUUGUACGCCUUGCAAGAGAGAACGUUAGUCCUUGACCAGCCGGUGAAGAUCGGACGCUCGGUGGCUCGGAACCGGCCAGCAACCAACAAUGCCAUCUUCGACUGCAAGGUGCUCUCCAGAAACCAUGCCGUGCUCUGGUAUGAGAAUGGGAAGUUCUACCUGCAAGACACAAAGAGCAGCAAUGGCACAUUUGUCAACAACCAGAGGCUUAGCAAAGGUUCUGAGGAGUCUGCCCCAAGAGAGGUGUGCUCAGGGGAUAUUGUACAGUUCGGUGUUGAUGUCAUGGAGAACUCCAGGAAGGUGACACAUGGAUGUAUAGUGGCAACCCUAAAGCUAUAUAUGCCAGAUGGCCAGGAGGCUAAGGCCAGUCCUUCAACAGCAGUAGGUGGAGCAGUCACCAGCGUCUCAGCACAGGAACUGUAUCAGUUACGAACGUAUCUCCAGGAAGCAACUCACCGCGAACAACAAAUUGAGACAAAAUUGGCUACCUUGCAACGAUUGGUGUCUUCUACUCAGGAAGCUGCUACACAGAGCUGGAAUGCCAUGAUUGACGAAGAUCGGUUACUGCAACGACUAGAAACCUUAGAAGCUCAACUUACAACAUACUCCAAGAAUUACCCUGAAGAUAGCGUUAGGGAAGAAAUGCGACGAUUGCUGGACGAGAAGGGCCAGUAUGAGACCACUGCCAAAGAAUCAUUACGACGGGUUUUGCAGGAGAAGUUGGACGCAGUCACCAAGCUGGCAGACUUAGAAAGGACAUUAAGUACUUCUGAGGAUGAAUUGAGUCACAUGAAGGACCUAUGCGAGACGACACAGAAGGAACUUCAGGAGCUGUUGGAGAAGCAGACGACCCAGAACGAGCAGAUUGCCCAACUUACUGAAAAACUAAAGGCAGCUGAAGAUCAGUUGAAAGAUGUGGAGGAAAAUUUUGAACAGGAGAAGAAGGAAUUGGAAAAUAAGUUACUAGAAAAGAAUAAUGACGAAAACAAAUUGUUAGCUAGAAUAGAAAGUUUAACGGCAGAAAGUGACUUUACGAAAGAGCAGUUAAGUGCCAUGAAAGCUAAAUAUGAAAAUAUUAAGAAUGGUGAAAUCAGUGGACUUAUUAAGCCGGUAAAGGAUUCCUCAGGUCUAGACAAUAUAAGCAUCGAGUCUACUGACGUGAAGCAAGCUCUCGAGACUUCGCAGAGGGAGAUCUUCACCCUCAAGGACCGACUCCAAAUUGCUCAGGACGAACUCAGGCAAACUGAAGCGAACGUAUCGCAGCUCAAACAUGAGGCAGAGCUGGCGGACAGUGCAGAGGUUGGAUGUUUGAGCACGCGCGCUCGCCUCCAGGAGGAGCUCUCGGAAAACAAAGCGAAAAGCGCAGCAAACACAGCCCUGACUGAGCACCUCCAGACUCAGAUUGGUGCCCUGGAAGAUCGCUUGCAGAUGUAUGAGGGAGAGUCGCAUAAGGUCAAGAUUUAUGAUGAUAUCUAUGAGGAUACUUUAGUGAGGAAAAAGAAGGAUCUGAAUAAGAAUAAAAACAAGUUGAAUGAGGAUGACGGAGACGACACCAAAGACAAGGAAUCCAACGAUAUCGGCGAGAUCACUCAGGACGCCGACACGACCCUCACCAUUAUCCCUACAAAGGAAUCUUGCAAGGAAUCAAAUGUGAAUGGCACUGUUGAGGAGGAAGAAGAAAAAGAGGAGGAAGGCAAGGAAGGAGUCAUCCAUGAGUCACUACUGCGCUCCGACAUCCUUAAACUUCAAGCAAUGCUUGAUUCAAGUCGAGUAACACAAGAAGCAACCGAAAAAGAAGCAGUUCGCAUUAGAGAGGAACUAGCUCAGGCCUCAACUGCGGCCAUAACCGCAUCCCAUGAGGCAUCCAACCUUCGACAACAGUUGGCAGCAAGUGAGGCUUUGAUGAGUGAGAAAGUGAAGAUGGUAGCAUCACUACAGAACCAAGUCAGUCGUAUGGAGGACUCGGCUAAGGAGGUUCAGGCUCACCUCUCUACUCUCACAGCAAAGCUAAAAGAGGAACAGGAUAAAGUUCUGGCUGCCCAGGAGGAAGCCCACCUUCUUCGAAAAAAACUAAACAAAGCAGAAGAGCUAGCCAGUCUCACCGUCCAGGAGGCAGAGUCGCUGAAGGUGCGGAUAAUUGGGCUAGAGGAGAGGAUGAGCCAGGCCUCUCCGACCACCCCCCUCAUCAUCCCUCCUUCUUCACACGCUCCUGGCCUUCCAAGCGACGUAUCUCGAGCCGAAACACUCACGGAAAGCGACAGCCAACAAGGUUCCACCGAGGAGCCGUCCGAAGCCACAGAGGUCUUGGAGAGGAGCGAUAUCCCUAAUGGCCACCCAAGCCAGACCUCACCCACUGUUGGAACGGAAACGAAAGAACAGGAAAUUAAUACUCUAAAGGAAAUGGUUAAGAAACUUCAGGAGGAGCUGUCCCAGACGCGACAACAGUGCACAACGCUGCAGGAGCGAGAACGAGGGCUACAACAGCCACUGGAUGGAGAGAAUGCUGCGUCUGAGAAGAAUGCAGAAGACUCCAGACCUAACCGUGUGGAUGGAGUUGUUACACCUACCCUAAAUGACGGACCACUAAUAGCAGAGAAACUGGAGAGCCUUCGAGAGGAGUUGGAGUCCCUGAAGGAGGAACGCGAUCACUUAAGAGACAAGCUCGGGGGGGUGGAUGAGGAUUACCAACUCCUCGCUCUGCAAAACAAGACGACGAUCCCAACCUGGGUCAUGGUAGUUAUGGUGAUGGCUCUGGCUCUCGGAUCUGAAUUAAUUCCCAACAUUAUAUGAUAAACUUGUAUAAAAUCUAUGCAUAUAUAAAGAAAUAGAGAAAUGUGUGUGUAUAUAUAUAUAUAAAGAUAAGGAAAAAAAAACACAAAAAAAGCCCAGUAUCCUUUAAAUAUACUUGAAGAUAUUAGUUGCAUUGAAUCAUGUAAUAGAUUAUAUAGUGAUGUUGAUGUAAAGAUAUUAUGGGAUAGUCAACUGUUGAUAUGUUGCACAAUGUACGUGCCAAUUUUUCUUCUUGUAUCUCAAAUCAUGUAUAGUAAAACAACUUUGUAUUUAGAUUGUACAGCUCUAGAAUAUGUUGAUAGAAUAUAGGCCUAGUAAACAUUUGAUUGUUAUAUAUUAUUGCAUAAUGUACUCUAUAUUGCACAUAUGCAAUGUAAAUAUGUAAAUAUAUGUUAGCUAAUAAGUAAGAAUGCAUAAAGAAAAACAAACAAACUUAAAACUAAAAAAAAAGAGAAAGAAAGAACUAGUGAAAAGAAGCAACAUCCAAGUUAAAUGUAAAGACAACCGCCAAUCAAUAGACAAAAAAAAAAAGAGAAAGCAAAGUACGAGCCAGUCCCAGAAGCCCUGUGAUAUUAGCCAUUGUAAAGCCCUGCAGAAAGGUCUUAGAAGGCCCAUGGGAUAAGGCUGCUGCUGCCUCGGCCCCACCGCAAAGCAGACCAAAAGGCUGUGGCGCUAUCCAUGGUGCCGCUGUGCAUCCUGAUCUUGGGCUUCAUCACUGCGUUCUAUGACACCCUCUCUGCCUUGACCGGCACGACAGAGUUCGACCCGCCCUCUUAAGACACUCUCGCAGUCUAUCGAGCACCGUUCUUUGGUUUGUUAUGGACGCUAUGCCAGAACUGUUGGUAGAACCUGUUACGUUAUUGUCCCCGAUAGUGUAUCCCACGUCAUUAAGUAUGAUGAUAAUAAUAAUAAUAAUAAUGAAUAAAAGUAUCCACCUCUUACCCAGUCACCAUCCAAGCUAUUAGUAACUGCCACAUGGGAUACAGAAACCUGUAAUAAACCUUUAACAAAAAAAAAAAGAAAAGAAAUGCAUAUCCUGAAGGCAUGACUGUUUGUGCAUCCUAAAGGCAAAGUUCUGCUGGAUCUGCUUCCUCAGGGAACUGAGAGUCAAGAGUUUAAUGUUUAAAAUCCUGUGCUACCAAGUGAUUGUACAGCUCAGACGAUGUACAAUGCGCUCCCUCCCUGCCCCAUGAAGCAACUCCCCCCCCCCCCCCCCCCAAGUAAUCAGAGGUUUUCCUUACAUUUUCUCCCCCCCCCCCCUCCAAAUAAAUAAAAAAUGACUAGCAAGAUUUCAAGAUGAAUGGAUGGAUUGAAGGAUUAUGGCCACUUUUACCAGUGAUAAGACGUCAACAAAAACAAAAAAUGCAACAGUAGUGUAUCAGGUAAAUUUUGAUGGGACUUUGCUACCAUCAAAUAAAGCACAAGCUGUAUAUAUAGAACCUAUGGUUCUUUUUCCUUCUCAUAUCUUCAAUGUCUUUGUAUAUGCACACAAAAUUGUACUGUUGGUUGUAGACAUUGGCUUGCUGUAAGUCUUUCAUUCUUCUGCCAACAUUUUAACUUAUAUAGGAUUUGAUCAAGUCUCUCCUUGAUUUUUAUUUUACAAUAUAGAUCUUUUUUUUUUCCUCUGUAUACUGUGUGAACAGAACCUGAAAAUAAGGUGUAAAUUAACUUUCAAAUUGACAAAACACUGUAUCAUCGCAGUAGAGACGAUACUAGUACGUUUCCCACUCAAAAAAAAGGAUAUAUUGUUUUUAAUCAAUUCUUUAUUUUAUUAUUUCAGCAAGGGAGCUGAGAAUUUCAUAUUUCCUUUGGCUUUCAAUCCACACAUUUUGAUAAGAGUUUUGAAAUAGCUUUUGGUAUUAGAGUACUUUGACACCUAAUUUGUAAUGUACGAAACUAAUUGAAAAUGUAACACUUUUUUUUAAGAAACAUCAUUAAACCCUUUUUUCUUUUUUUCUAAGAAUUGAGUAGAAUACUAAACUUUUUUCUAUCCUGUUUUACACAGUUCAUAAAGACAUUUAAAACUUGUUUAGGAAUGUGUUUUGUAAAAAUAAAAAACAAAAUAAUUCAAUGUGAGGUGUAGCCAAUAUGUUGUUGUACCUGUUAUUUAUCUGUGAUAAGAAGUGGUUAUCAUUAUUGUACCCAUGUAUGAUUUUUUUUUCCUUAUCAUUUAUACUAAUAAUCUUCCAAUCUUUAUUGCUUUUUAGCAUAUUGGUUACACCAUUAUGUUUUAUCAAUGUCCUGGUGGAUCUUUGGGAAGUCGAAAUUUUGAAGCUAAGAAAAAACAAAAAACAAAGAUAACACGAAUAAUAAACAGGGUAGUUAUUAUACUUCCAGAAUAUCACGUUGAAGCAAAGGUUGAAAGUGUUGAAACGAAGCACAGACGCUGUAGUUUGUGGUGUGCCCAGUGCUACAAAGUGUGAAGAUAUCCUACUUCUGGCAAAUUUCUCCCAAAUGUGUGUGUGAAGGGGGAAAAAAAAAAAAUGCAGAGAAAUUGAGAAGAAUGUCUUUCUUGUGAGUGAGUGCUUCGUCAGGCUCAAAAAAAUUAACGAUUGUGUCACGGAGAAGGGAAGAAAGAAUGAAUCGUGUAUAUACCGCAGCUGCCAAAUUCCCUGACACAGGUCUGACCUUUUUACUAAGGCUCCCCCCCUAGUCACCAGUCCGGUGUUUUUUUCGCCGACCACCCCAGACCUCUGAUGAAAGUCAUGUACAGAAAACUUGUCGGAAUCCUCAUGUACAUAGGCUGACUUCUCGUCACCCGAGACCGACUGUGUAUAAAGACUGAGUUGUAUACUGCCAUUAUUCACUAGUAAAUGUAGGGAAUUUACUCUUAGAUAUUUAUGUUUGUUUGAUAUGAGAUCAUGUUAACUAUUGUAGUUCUUGUUCCGUUGAUUUUAAAAAGGAUGUUAAUUACAUGUUAAGCCUAAGAUGCUUUAUACAUGAUUCCCUCUUCUGAGUUUUAUUCAUGCUUUGUACUUCAGUUCUUGAGAAGUAAAAGUUUCUAUGGUAAGAGAAAAAAAAAUGUUCUUGAAAUCUGUUAUACAAGUCACAAUUUUGUGUCCCACUUAGCACAUUUUUUUGUAGGUGUCAUAUAUAUAUAAAUAUAUAAAUAUAUAUAUAUAAUAUUCAAUUUUAUAUGAAUCACAUGUACAAACAAAGCCAAGCACACAGAGGCUACCGUAAACUGGCCGAGUUCAUAUAGAAUUGGAAUCCGUUUAGGUAGAACACUUAACAUCCAUUAUACUUUCCUAGUGAGGUUGUUUAUGUAAUUUUCUUUUUCUUUUUUAAGUAAAUGUCAUCACACCCCCUAGUUUUGUGGAUGUUCUCUCAAAUUGUACUGACCAUUUUUUUUUUCUGUCCUUUAGCUACUAAAGGGAAAAAAAAGAGCAAGUCACAAACAUGUCUGAAUAUUCAGUUCUUUAUGAAUACUGUCAGUUAUUAGGUACUCUGGCCAGGCACCAAUGCUCAUGAAGUGCUGCGCUUAGGGUGUCAGUCAGUAAACAAAAAUGAAAAAAUGACAUGUUCUCAAGCUUCCAAAUACAAAUAUUCAGCAUC
rnacentral:misc_RNA from 1 species